GGGACGCGAGCGAGCAUGACUCCAUUGGGAAGCGAGACUGACCGUGAUUCACCAGCAUCAUGAUCACAGAUGAGUGGAAAGAUGUUCUUUAUUUCCGCUGCCACAGAAGUUGAAGUCCGCUGUCUGGGAUUAAAAGACCCACGAGGACCAUCAUUGUUGAUGGUUACCCAGUCUGUAAAGUUUGCCGCAAAAAAGUAUCGGCUGAGGCGGGAAACACUUCAAACCUUAAGCACCAUCUCCGUGAGCACCAUCCCACGGAAUUUGCGGAGAUGACUAUGCUGUCCAUAUUGCACAUGGAACAUUCCUUUUCAUGGAGACCAUUAAGUUUAAUGGAUGAAAUCUGGACCAUUACGUUUGGAUGGAAAAAAAUAAAAAACAGGACGGGAAGGAAAGGGAAUAGUUUGAGGUAUCAAAUGAUGUAUUUAUUUGCACUUAAAAUUCUAUAAAUAAUAAACAUUCAUAUUAACAAAAUUUAUUAUUAUUAAUAUUCAUAAUAAUUCAUAUUAUUUAUUAUAAUUAAUAAUACAUAUUUUAAUAUUCUGAUAGCCUAUUCUAAGUUCAUUUUUACACCUCAAAAAAUGUAGAUGAUUCUCAGUGUAAACAACAUAGGUUUCUGAGAAUGUAAGUAGUCACUUAGCUGUCACUUUUAUGCAAAGAGAAAAACAAUAUCCCUGAAGUAAUGUGAGGCUAAGUGUGUUAAUCAACAGCACAAUGAUGAUAGUUCAUGGAUGACCAUUAAGUUUAAUGGAUGAAAUCUGGACCAUUACGUUUGGAUGGAAAAAAAUAAAAAACAGGACGGGAAGGAAAGGGAAUAGUUUGAGGUAUCAAAUGAUGUAUUUAUUUGCACUUAAAAUUCUAUUAAUAAUAAACAUUCAUAUUAACAAAAUUUAUUAUUAUUAAUAUUCAUAAUAAUUCAUAUUAUUUAUUAUAAUGAUAGCCUGAGAAAAUGAAAAUUCUCUCCUCAUUUACUCGUGUAUGACUUUCUUUCAUCU